rnacentral:rRNA from 1 species
GUGCCAGCCGCCGCGGUAAUACGGAGGGUGCAAGCGUUAAUCGGAAUCACUGGGCGUAAAGCGUGCGUAGGCGGCGCAGUAAGUCAGGGGUGAAAGCCCUCGGCUCAACCGAGGAAUUGCCUCUGAUACUGCUGUGCUUGAGGCUUGGAGAGGCAGGCGGAAUUCCAGGUGUAGGAGUGAAAUCCGUAGAUAUCUGGAGGAACACCGGUGGCGAAGGCGGCCUGCUGGACAAGUUCUGACGCUGAGGUACGAAAGCGUGGGUAGCAAACAGGAUUAGAUACCCGAGUAGUCC